rnacentral:rRNA from 1 species
AUUGAACGCUGGCGGCAGGCCUAACACAUGCAAGUCGAACGGUAACAGGAAGCAGCUUGCUGCUUCGCUGACGAGUGGCGGACGGGUGAGUAAUGUCUGGGAAGCUGCCUGAUGGAGGGGGAUAACUACUGGAAACGGUAGCUAAUACCGCAUAAUGUCGCAAGACCAAAGAGGGGGACCUUCGGGCCUCUUGCCAUCGGAUGUGCCCAGAUGGGAUUAGCUUGUUGGUGGGGUAACGGCUCACCAAGGCGACGAUCCCUGGCUGGUCUGAGAGGAUGACCAGCCACACUGGGACUGAGACACGGUCCAGACUCCUACGGGAGGCAGCAGUGGGGAAUAUUGCACAAUGGGCGCAAGCCUGAUGCAGCCAUGCCGCGUGUAUGAAGAAGGCCUUCGGGUUGUAAAGUACUUUCAGCGGGGAGGAAGGGAGUAAAGUUAAUACCUUUGCUCAUUGACGUUACCCGCAGAAGAAGCACCGGCUAACUCCGUG